CAGCUUGUUUCACGGUUCCGUCGCCACGGGAACCAACACUCCCCAUUUAUCCGGGCUUGUGACCGGCUAUGGUUUCCCAUAGGCUGGGUAGAUAGAUAGAUAGAUAGAUAGAUAGAUAGA